ACCGGUGCAUAACUCCGAGCUAUCUCACCUAAAUCUAUGACAAGGUGCUUUAGCCGUGAAUCUGUUAAUUUUUCUGAUUCGCCAGGGUUGUAAGAGAAAUCGAACAGCCUCCCGUAAGUGUCGCAAAUUUGUGUGUCACUUCAAUUUGGAAAGGUGUUAAAUAAUAUGUUAG
rnacentral:ncRNA from 2 species